rnacentral:rRNA from 1 species
GACGAACGCUGGCGGCGUGCUUAACACAUGCAAGUCGAACGGAAAGGCCCUGCUUUUGUGGGGUGCUCGAGUGGCGAACGGGUGAGUAACACGUGAGUAACCUGCCCUUGACUUUGGGAUAACUUCAGGAAACUGGGGCUAAUACCGGAUAGGAGCUCCUGCUGCAUGGUGGGGGUUGGAAAGUUUCGGCGGUUGGGGUUGGACUCGCGGCUUAUCAGCUUGUUGGUGGGGUGGGGCUUACCAAGGCUUUGACGGGUAGCCGGGCUGAGAGGGUAACAGGACAAGUUAGGACUGAAAUACGGCACAGACUCCAACGGGAGGCAGGGGUGGGGAAGAGUACAUAAGGGGCGGAAGCCUGAUGCAGCAACGCCGCGUGCGGGAUGACGGCCUUCGGGUUGUAAACCGCUUUCGCCUGUGACGAAGCGUGAGUGACGGUAAUGGGUAAAGAAGCACCGGCUAACUACGUG